GGCCUGUAGCUCAGCUGGUUAGAGCACCGUGUUGAUAACGCGGGGGUCGGCAGCUCAAGUCUGCCCAGGCCUACCAA
rnacentral:tRNA from 1 species